rnacentral:lncRNA from 1 species
CGGACCAACUCAUCGAGUUUUUCUCUGAGCUGUACUCCUAUGGAGGACAACCUAUGGGACCUCUGCAGACUAUCGAUUCUAUCUGGACCAGCUCAUCGUGUUUUCCUCCGAGCCAUACUUCUGCGGAAGAUAACCUACAGGAUCUCCGCAGCCCAUCGACUUAUCUCUAAAUCCUUCGGUCCAUCGAUCUCUAUUCGGACCAACUCGUCAUGUUUUUCUCUGGGCCGUAUUCCUAUGGAGGAU